ensembl:lncRNA
AUGCGUCCGACCAAUGAGAGAUCUGGUAGGCGUGGUCUGGGGCGGGGAGGGCAGGCAGGCCGGCGCGCGUCCAUUGGUCGGCUCGGCGAGGGGAGGAGCCGCUGCCUCCGGCGCCCCCGCCGCCGCGAUGAACCUCAGCCGCCUGUGCCGCCUACUGAAGCCGGCGCUGCUGUGCGGAGCCCUGGGGGCCCCCGGCCUGGCCGGCACCAUGGUGNNNNNNNNNNNNNNNNNNNNNNNNNNNNNNNNNNNNNNNNNNNNNNNNNNNNNNNNNNNNNNNNNNNNNNNNNNNNNNNNNNNNNNNNNNNNNNNNNNNNGGGGGGGGGGGGGGGGGGGGGGGGGGGGGGGGGGGGGGGGGGGGGUUCUGCAGUCGCCACAGGAUUCCUCACGAUGUCACAUUUGUCUUCUAGCGCCAUCAAAUGGAACUUCACCAAGGUAAGAGCGCUGGGGGCUGGGGGAAGGGGGGACCGGCUAGCUGCAGCUCAGUGCCCUGCCCCAAGGGGCUCCAGCCCUGGCCCGAACGGGACAGCAAGCUCGCUUGCCCCUGCCCCCAUUCUGACGCGGCCGCCCUUGCAGUUCCUCGUGGACAAGGACGGCUGCGUGGUGAAGCGGUACGGCCCCAUGGAAGAACCCCUGGUGAUCGAGAAGGACUUGCCCUGCUAUCUCUAGCUCCACAAGCGUGCCCCCCGCCCCAGCCCUUGCCCCUGCCCCUUGGAGCCUUCCACCCGGCACCCAUGACGGUCUACCUGAAAACCAGCCCGCUGGUGGGGCAGACCUGAGAACCCGGCGUGCACCCCCUGCUGGAGGAAGGCUCCUCGGCCUGGCGUGUGGCUUGGCACCCCCCCACCCCUGGUUAUCCUGUGGGAAUAAAACAUACAAUGGGCCUGCAGCACGUUCCUGCCUCCCGUGGGGGGGCCUGGGGGGCGGGCGGGCAGGCUGGGAGCCUUUCGCCCUGGGGCCCUUCUGGUGGUGGUAGCUCCCCAGGCCUUUGGGGGUUGAGACUUUCUCUGGGUCCCUGGGGCUGCUCUGCCCUGCGGCCCCGCCAAUCUGAGCGCCCCGCCCACAGAGCACAGGCCUGGCUGAUCCGGCAGGAGAUUAAUAGGGAUUACUGGGUGCUACUCCUCGCACAGGGCCUUAGCCUGCUAGGGAACAGCUGCUCAGCGCCUGCCGGGGGCCGUCUUCCCCAGUCCUAGAUGGGAGCGUCGGGGGGGCCUGGGCCUUGCGGCUCUGCCCAUUGGGGGAACUGGGCACGUGGGGUGGGCUGAGCAUCAGGCCAGGCUGCCUUGGGCACAGAGCCAUGCCAGGCAGGGCCUGCCCAUGGCCGCUUGCCAGCAGAGGCAUGCGGGUGUGAUCUACAGUCCCCUGCCCCAGGAAGGGUGGGAAGGGCCUGAGGUCAUCAGUCCUGCACCCCAGCACCCAUCCACCGUGCAGGGGGCCCACGACGCUCGGGGACAGGCUUCCUGCCUGUAGCUGCCCGGGGCCAUCCUGGCAAGGGGCGGGAGAUGGCGUGGCUGGAGGGUGGCUGAGUCUGGCCCGUUCCUCUCCUGCCCCCCACUUUCCAGUGUCUGCAAUAAAGGGCAGCAGCAGAGGGAUGGGGCUAGAGGACUGCAGUGACCGUUUGAGAGCCCCAGCGCCCCCGAGAGCUGCUGCCCCGGGGUGGGGGGGGUCCCGGCUCCUCAGCUGCCCACGUCCUGGCUGGUGUGAGACCUAACUCGAGGGCCAGACCUGGUCAGUGUGCUUCCCGUGGCUUCUGGAAAGGCCUGGCACCCUCCCUGCCUUCCCAGCUCCACCCAGCUCCUGGGCCCUCCUGCUCUGGGCUACCCUGCCCACGUGAACCAACACUGAGGGAGCCUCGGGGCGGGGGGGGGGCAGAGCCGGGGCCGAGAUGUGCGCACCGGAGACCGGAGGAUGUGGUCCUGAGAGCAGCCCCCGAGCGUCCCAGCGUUGGGGGGGGGGGUCUCCCCAGCAGGCAGGAGGUGGCACGGCUGCGCAGGGCAGCUGGCCUGCGAGGCGGGUACCAGGAAGACUGUUGACAGCGUCCCCUUACCUCGCGGACCUCCACACGGCCCUGGGAGAGGAGAGGGCUGGGCUCACCCACCUGGCUGCCCUCCACAAGCAACGGCUCCCCCAACCCGGUGCGGGACCGCCCUGGGUGUCCGCCAGGCGCUCCUGGAGGAGACGCGCAGCGCCCUCCCCUCCCCACGGUCCCUGCAGGCUGGAGAAGCAGACCAUCUGGGGAGUAGUGAAAAGGCACAUAUAUUUAAAAAAGAUCUCUUUACAUUAUGUACACUGGAGUUAAUUAUAAAUACACAUAGAAACCAGGGGCCCACCCACACCGCCAGCUCCACAGCGGAUCCUGGGGUCUGGGACAGGCGGCUGGACAAUAAUUUAGGGAGCAAAGAGUGGGGAGAAUUGCAUAUAUUC